AAUCUGAACAAUACUCUGAACCCUAUGAUCUUAACCCCAUACCCAUAACCUUAUUCUACUGUGUGUCUCUAACCAAAUCAUUUGAAUGCUAUCAUUCUGUUUAACCCUUAACCCCCGUUCUGUUACCAAACCCCAAAACUGUAACCCCUUACUCCCCUAACCAAUGCUGCAAAGGCAGUAUCCCCUUGCCAUGGAGAGAGACUACAGCUUCACUGUUAGUGUAUAAUGGAAGGCAAUGUAUGAUAUCAUCCACCAGCCGACUCUCUCUGAAUUUAGCCAGGGGAUGAGGUUAGGCAAUGUACAGUGAUGCUGACGAAGUAGUUCUUGUGAGAAUGUCCUUACGCAGUCCGUGAUGUUUAUUCUACCUAAGCCAGUAUUACCGACCAACUACAGACAAAUCAUUGGAUGUAGGGAUUCUUCAGCAACGGACUCAACUACUGACAUAGUAUCAGUGUUUCAGUGUUGAACAGACUUUCCUACAACCAGAAUGUAACUUGUCUGCAGCCUUUUCUAUGGAAGUCAAGUCCUGGCGGUAUGGACAGAACGCUACACUCAGACAGAUUAAACUGGUCCAAACAGAUAUACAGAAACCCAGCCUAAAACCCCAAACAGCAAGCUAUGCAGAUGUAGAAGCACGGUGGCGAGGGAAAAACUCCCUAAAAAGGCAGGAACCUAGAAGAAACCUAGAGAGGAACCAGGCUCUGAGGGGUGGCCAGUCCUCUUCCAAUGGACUUAUACAUUGCAUUACUACAUUACUCAUCAGAACUUACCAAGUAUUUGGGAUUUAGUGUAUUUACAGUGUUUCACAUUGGCAUGGGGGUGUGCUGCAUGUACUGAACUGGACCCAUCACCCACCAACACCACAUUUGAAAGCUUUUUGUGGUGUAAUGUAAAUAUUGAGUUUACUGUUUUUUUCUCUACUCUUAUGGCUGCGACCAACGCUGCUUUUAUACUUCCUUGAAAAAGAGCUUAAUCAUUGAUGUGCUGCUUCUGUGGUGUUUCUAAGUGCUUGUGACAAGGGUGACAGUGAUUUCUAAGCCAGCACUAGAGUACAUGUAAAGAGACCCAUCUCUCAUCAAACAGACAGGAAACACAUAACUGUAUUUCAGACAGGAAACACCAAGUGUUUGUUUAACCAUUUAUUCUAAAAGAUUUCAAUACAAGCAAUACGUUAGUCUUGGCAUUAGAGGCUCUGCUCCUUUGGGGUAGCUCACUGCCAGAGCAUGCAUAAUGUUAAGAUAAUAAUAAUUACAGGCAGAGAGAAAGGUAUUCUGUACCAUUCCCCCUGCAGGAAGGGAACAGAACCAAGCAGGUGGACACGGGUGGGAAAGCAGAACACAGACAUGCAUGGCGAGUAACGCAUGUCAUAGCUAUAGCCUGUCAGCAGGAACACCAGUGCAUAAUUUGUGUGCGGCAGCCAUCAGAGAAAGUGUGUGUAGAGCCUGGUGGACUAAAUAGACUGCCAUAUUAAUGUAGAGAGAUGAAUCUAAUGGGUGCAAUAUCAGCUACGGUUGCGCUUGGUGUACUGAACCCACCGCAUGACCACGGCCACCGACACACUAUCUGGGCGCCUUCGAGCGGAUCACAUUUGUCAAGUCGGUGACCAUCAUCACCACCUUUCAAAGUGUGUUGCAUUAUAGAGACAAAAAUUGUCCGACUUGCAUGAACUUUACAACAACCAUGUGAUCAAAGGUCGACUGCUUGAACUUUACAACAACCAUGUGAUCAAAGGUCGACUGCUUGAACUUUACAACAACCAUGUGAUCAAAGGUUGACUGCUUGAACUUUACAACAACCAUGUGAUUAAAGGUCGACUGCUUGAACUUUACAACAACCAUGUGAUCAAAGGUCGACUGCUUGAACUUUACAACAACCAUGUGAUCAAAGGUCGACUGCUUGAACUUUACAACAACCAUGUGAUCAAAGGUCGACUGCUUGAACUUUACAACAACCAUGUGAUCAAAGGUCAUGAAGUUUCAACUGCAGUUGACUUCGAUUUUCUGCAGUUGCACUUCACCAGCUGCAACUUGCCGCCAUCGCCUGCAUUGUGGGAGUCACUAUUUGUCAACCAAUCAUGACAAUAUUUUUGUUUGACCCAUGCAAACAGGACCAUGGAUGUGACUAAACAGGAAGCAACUUUACUACGAUUCAUAUGUACAGUGCAUUUGGAAAGUAUUCAGACCCCUUGACUUUUCCCACAUUUUGCUACGUUACAGCCUUAUUCUAAAAUAUAUUUUUUUCACCUCAAAUCUACACACAAUACCCCAUUUUUACAAAGCAAAAACUGGGUUUUAGAAAUGUUUGCAAAUGUAUAAAAAAAAUAUAUAUAUAUAUAAUUUACAUAGGUAUUCAGACUUUUUACUCAGUACUUUGAUGAAGCACCUUUGGCAGCGAUUACAGCCUUGAGUCUUCUUGGGUAUGACGCUACAAGCGUUGGACAGCUGUAUUUGGGGAGUUUCUCCCAUUCUUCGCUGCAGAUCCUCUUCGAGAUCUGUCAGGUUGGAUGAUGAUUGUCGCUGCACAGCUAUUUUCAGGUCUCAGAGAUGAUCGAUCGGGUUCAAGUCCGGGCUCUGUCUAGGUCACUCAAGGACAUUCAGAGACUUGUCCCGAAGCCAUUCCUGUGUUGUAUAUGCUGUGUGCUUCGUGUCGUUGUUCUGUUGGAAGGUGAACCUUGUCCCCAGUCUGAGGUCCUGCGCGCUCUGGAGUAGGUUUUCAUCAAGGAUCUUUCUGUACUUGGCUCCGUUCAUCUUUCCCUCGACCCUGACUGGUCUCCCAGUCCCUGCCUCUGAAAAACAUCCCCCAGAGCAUGAUGCUGCCACCACCAUGCUUUACGGUAGGGAAGGUACCAGGUUUCCUCAAGACGUGACACUUGGCAUUCAGGCCAAAGAGUUCAAUCUUGGUUUCAUCAGACCAGAGAAUCUUGUUUCCCAUGGUCUGAGAGUCUUUGGGUGCCUUUUGGCAAAUUCCAAGUGGUCUGUCAUGUGCCUUUUACUGAGGAGUGGCUUCCAUCUGGUCACUCUACCAUAAAGGCCUGUUUGGUGGAGUGCUGCAGAGAUGGUUAACCUUCUGGAAGGUUCUCCCAUCUCCACAGAGGAACUCUGGAGCUCUGUCAGAGUGACCAUCGGGUUCUUGGUCACCUCCCUGACCAAGGCCCUUCUCCCGCGAUUGUUCAGUUUGACUGGGCAGCCAGCUCUAGGAAGAGUCUUGGUGAUUCCAAACUUCUUCCAUUUAAUAAUUAUGGAAGCUACUGUGUUAUUGGGGACCUUCAAUGCUGCAGAAUUAUUUUGGCACUCCCCAGAUCUGUGUCUCAACACAAUCCUGUCUCAGAGCUCUACAGACAAUUCCUUCGACCACAUGGCUUGGUUUUUGCUCUGAUAUGCACUGUCAACUGUGGAACCUUAUAUAGACAGGUGUGUGUCUCUCCAAAUCAUGUCCAAUCAAUUGAAUUUACCACAGGUGGACACCAAUCAAGUUGUAGAAACAUCUCAAGGAUGAACAAUGGAAACAGGAUGCACCUGAGCUCAAUUUCGAGUCUCAUAGCAAAGGGUCAGAAUUUUUUUUUUCCACCUUUAUUUAACCAACAAGUUCUCAUUUACAACUGCAACCUGGCCAAGAUAAAGCAAAGCAGUGUGACAUAAACAAUAACACAGAGUUACACAUAAACAAACGUAGAGUCAAUAACACAAUAGAAAAAUCAAUGUACAGUGUGUGCAAAUGUAGAAGAAUAGUGAGGUAAGGCAAUAAAUAUGAUGUAGAGGCAAAAAUAAUUACAAUUUAGCAUCAACACUGGAGUGAUUGAUGUGCAGAUGAUGAUGUGGAGGUGGGGAUACAGGGGUGUGAAAGAGCAAAAGGAUAAAUAACAAUAUGGGGAUGAGGUAGUUGGGUGUGCUAUUUACAGAUGGGCUGUGUACAGGUACAGUGAUCAGUAAGCUGCUCUGACAGCUGAUGCUUAAAGUUAGUGAGGGAGAUAUAAGACACCAGCUUCAGUAAUUUUUGCAAUUCUUCCAGUCGUUGGCAGCAGAGAACUGGAAGGAAAGGCGGCCAAAGGAAGUGUUGGCUUUGGGGAUGACCAGUGAAAUAUACCUGCUGGGGCGCAUGCUAUGGUUGGGUGUUGCUAUGGUGACCAGUGAGCUGAGAUAAGGCGGGGCUUUACCUCGCAAAGACGUAUAGAUGACUUAUGGAAAUAAGGUAUUUCUGUUUUUGCAAAGAUUUCUGAAAACCUGUUUUUGCUUUGUCAUUAUGGGGUAUUGGGUGUAGAUUAAUUAGAAUUGUUUUUUAAAAUCUGUUUUAUAAUAAGACUGUAAUGUAACAAAAUGUGGAAAAAGUCAAGGGGUCUGAAUACUUUCCGAAUGCACUGUAUACAGUAGAUAUGUACAAAUGAAUGUGCUAUUUGAGGCUCUCUCACCAAUUGAUAUUACAUGCAUAUAUUUACAUUUUGUGAGUGUGUGAUAUGGGGGUUGGAGACGUGUUUAUUUUGAUAUUACAAAGAACAACUUUUAUAAAUGAUGGCAACACUGCCAUGUUGUGCUGAGCCUUGCUGUUGGAAAGCCACAUCAGUGUCCGACUUUCGGCUGUAGCAGAUGCACCUCCCCCGACUUCACUUCUUGACUUUUGUCUGCAGUCGGUUGCUUCAGCCUUACCACUCACUCUCCGUCUCACACUUUUGCAUGUUUCCAGCACGCUUUGGUUCAGCUUUGUAAGGGCAAUAGUCAGCAGCAGCUGUUGUUGAUGUGGCGCCAAUGAGAUGCUUUGAUUGGAUGUCUAUGUGUUUUGCUCAUUCAUGCUGUGCUAUUGUAUGUCUCUGAGUCUGUCUGGUGUUUCAUUAUGUAUGGGAAUAUACACACAGACUUGCACAAUAUCUAUUUGAAAUGUGUUUAAUAUUUGUCAUGGUAAAAAGUGUCUUUGUAUAGCUUGAAUCUUACAUGUAUUAAUGUGUGUGUUGUAUAUUUAUUUUAUAUGUGUCUUUAUUUGCACUAGCUCUUCUUUUGCAAUGCAGUUGCACAGGGCUUGAUGACAUUUAGUAUCAUAUGAAUGCUUCAUAUAGUUUUUAUUAAAAAAGACAAUCUUUGAAGCCAAACAGAAUUUUUGAUAUCUAUAAAAAUCUAAUGAACACACACACAGUAUUGUGAAUCAAUUUCAGAGAGAAUAUGAUUAUUAAAAGAUGAAAUUCAAACAAUAUGUGAA